AUGGGCAAGCUCCUGGGAGCAUCAUUGUUGAUUAUGUGGCUGCAGCCUGACUGGGUGAAGAGUCAACAGAAGAAUGGCGACCAGCAGAUUAGAUAAAACCCUCCAUCCCUGAGUGUGCAAGAAGGAGGGAUUUUCAUUCUGAACUGUGACUAUGAUACUAUGUUUGAGUCUUCCAAUGGUACAAAAAUACCCAGCAAAAAGUCCCAUAUUCCUCAUAUCAAUAUGUUCAGCUUUGGAGAAAAAUAAGGAUGGAAGAUUCACGGUCUUCCACAACAAAAGUGCCAAACACCUCUCUCUGCACAUCUCGUCCUCCCACUCUGGAGACUCAGCCUCGUACCUCUGCUCAGCCCAGCACAAUAAACUCAUCUUUGGAAAAGGGACUCAGCUGGUUGUGGAACCACGAAGUCAGCCUAAUUCCAAACCAUCCGUUUUUGUCAUGAAAAAUGGAACAAAUGUUGCUUGUCUGGUGAAGGAUUUCUACCCUAAAGAUAUACAAAUAAGUCUGGAAUCAUCCAAGAAAAUAACAGAAUAUGACCCUGCUAUCGUGGUCUCUCCCAGUGGGAAGUACAGUGCUGUCAAGCUUGGUCAGUAUGGAGAUCCCGAUGCAGUCACAUGUUCAGUUCAACACGACCAAAAAACCUUGCACUCUGCUGACUUCGAACCAAAGAAAAAUUCUUCAGAGACUCCAAAACCAAAGGAAUCUGAAAAUGUUAAGCAAACUUCGGAGAUCUGCUAUGAGCCCCAAGUUCAAGCCUGGAAGGUGAAUAUGAUGUCUGUCACAGUGCUGGGGUUCCGAAUGCUGUUUGCCAAGAGCGUUGCUGUCAAUUUUCUCUUGACUGCCAAGUUAUUUUUCUUUUAAGGCUGACUGGCAUGAGAAACCUACACUCCCUGAAAGAAACCAAAAGCCUACAGAGCUGUUUCCUCUUAGGCUUUCAACGUCUUGGUGAUUCAAGUUGAACCAUCCCAGCCUUGCUUAAAUGGCUGCUACCCAAACCUGUUUUCCUUUAAAGGCAGCAAACCCAGCUUAUCCUUCAGCCUGGUGGAAAGACAGAAGUUCUGGGCAAUGAGGGCCUAUGGUCCCAAAUGCUUUAUGUGCUGCUUUAUAAAGGGAUAUAGAGAUAUGAAGGUAUAUAGUAUUCAUUUUUUUCUUCCUAAGGCUGAUAUACUUUGAAAAUGGUGUUUUUGUUCCUUUGACUUCUUUGCCUCCAGAAAUAGAAGCUAUUGCAUUCCCAGCUCCAUUCUCCAAGAGGGAAAUAGAUCCUGGAGAAAGAAGGGCAGAUGUCCUUUCACCUAAACAUAAAAGGCUCUGCUAACCCAGCACAAGAUUUGCCCCAAACUAAUGUUUUCUUCCACAAAGGUAUCUUCUGCUUUUCCUAGUACUUCACAAACAGAACUACAUUUGAUUUCCCUAAUACUCUGUGCAGGCAUGAGCUUUCUAAAAUCUCAUUUAAAUACUCUCAGAGCUCUUAGCAGAGAUCAGGGUAAGAUGCAGAGGAAAUGUGCUUCUCUCUAUUAAUUGAUUUAACAAACAGGGAUUACUCCAGGUUUUAGGCACCGUGCUGAGGGUGCAAAAAUGAGUAAUACAUGGGAAUUGCUUUAAAGCAACUGACUGUGCAAGUAUUUUUGGAGGAAGGGACAGAAAUGAGACCCUGUGAUUUCCCCCAUAAAAAGUGUCUUUUCCACCCCUUGCCUGCCCAUCUGUGCACAGGGCAUUUGAGGGUUUUGGAUCUUUGGUGUUGAUAGUUUUCUGCCAUUCUUCUCUGUCUCUGUUACAUUGAUUAAAGUGCAUUGUGGGUGCCUUG